AUUGAACGCUGGCGGCAGGCCUAACACAUGCAAGUCGAGCGAGCGGCGGAAGGGUGAGUAUUGUCCGGGAACAUGCCUGACGGCGGGGGAUAACUACUGGAAACGGUAGCUAAUACCGCAUACCAUCAGAUGUGCCCAGAUGGGAUUAGCUGGUAGGUGGGGUAAUGGCUCACCUAGGCGACGAUCCCUAGCUGGUCGGAGAGGAUGACCAGCAAAACUGGAACUGAGAAACGGUCCAGACUCCUACGGGAGGAAGCAGUGGGGAAUAUUGCACAAGGGGCGAAAGCCGGAUGCAGACAGGCCGCGUGUAUGAGGAAGGCCUUCGGGUUGUAAAGUACUUUCAGCGGGGAGGCGGUACCCGAAGAGGAAGCACCGGCUAACUCCGUGCCAGCCGCCGCGGUAAUAC
rnacentral:rRNA from 1 species